UACGUAGGGUGCAAGCGUUAAUCGGAAUACUGGGCGUAAAGCGUGCGCAGGCGGUUAUGUAAGACAGAUGUGAAAUCCCCGGGCUCAACCUGGGAACUGCAUUUGUGACUGCAUAGCUAGAGUACGGUAGAGGGGGAUGGAAUUCCGCGUGUAGCAGUGAAAUGCGUAGAUAUGCGGAGGAACACCGAUGGCGAAGGCAGGCUCU
rnacentral:rRNA from 1 species